rnacentral:rRNA from 1 species
CCCGUCACAUCAUGAAAGCCGCUUGUACCCGAAGUCGCUGUGCCAACUCGCAAGAGAGGCAGGUGCCGAAGGUAUGGGUGGUGAUUGGGAUG